AAAAAAGGGAAAAAGAAGAAGAAAAGAAGAGCCGGGAGGGAGGAUAGGUUGUUCAGUUUACUACUGGAGACCUGACUGUGACAGCGCGUCGGGAAAACAUCAUUUGCAAGGGAGGAAGGAAUUGCUGCGGCAGCAUCUCCGUGUCUCUCCUAUUUCUCUUUAGAGUUACAUAGGAUAACUUGGCCAGAACUUACUGAUGCCUGCACGGUCAGCGGAGCCGGGAAUGGGAAAUGCAGGAAGGCACUCUGUGGCAGGAGCAGAAGAGGAAGCAUUACAAAGAUCCUGCAGGUGACCGAGGUGAUCUGUUGCCAGAAUAAAUAAAUUUCAGGAAGUGCCAAGGCUGCUCAGCCAUUUACUGUGAUAUCACUCCUACAUAAGGAACUUGUAUCACCAGCUUUCUUCAAGUAUCUUCUCUAUUAUGAUGACACGUAGGUUGAAUUCAAAAGUGCAGGAAAAGAGCUCUGUCUGCAAAAGGAUCCUGCACUCCGGAGGGUUUGCUCUAAACUAUUGUGAGACCUCCGGCUACAACACAGGACAUGGGAGCUUUUCUGAACCCUCGUGUCUUGUGUUGCAGCCAGAGGGGCACAUCUUUACAACCGAGUCUGAGACAAGUAGAAGAAACCAUCAUGAGAGAGGUGUAAAUAGAGAAUGAGAAACGGGUGCAGGACUUCACUGAACAUCUGAGAGAAGCAGACUCAGGAAUGUGAUCCAUGCCAUUAGCUUAUGGAGCUCCCAAAUCCAGAGGAGAUGUCAGAUUUCUGCCAGUUCUUGAAUGCAGAUUGAGAGAUCUGAAUCAGGUAGUAAAAGUUACUGUGCUUAUAAUGCCACGGGCACUGGUCUUUUUUUGUUUUUUGCUUUCUGAAAAUUUGACUAGAGUCGCUGAAUUAAACUCUAGAUGCUUCGCAAGUAUUUAAUGAUCUGUCCAUUUGAGACUCAGCGCUUUUGUUCCUGUUUUUCAGCAGCUGUAAGCAUGAACUUUUAGGAGGAAUAGAAUUAAGCAGCCUCAAGUACUUAGAGGAGAGGACAUGCCUAUGAUUAACACUGACAUUUUUUGUUUCUCACUGGGACAAAUAUUUCCCUUCUUCAAGAUCUGACUUCAGGGCGAACCUCAGUUUGAGGAGGUGCUCAUGAGCCCUUGAGAGAAUGCAUGAACCCUUUGGUUUCACUUAACUUUGUCAUUUGCUCAAUACAGUGCAUGCCAGUCUGUUCCAUCUAAUCAAUUAUUAAAGCAUACUCAGCUGAAAUCUUCUUUCUUAUUACUUCAUUAGACUGGAUAAACUAGUAUAUAAGCUUAAAUAUCUGCAUUAAAUAAAAAAAAAAAAAAAGUAUAUCCCACUGAAAUGCCCAUAAGGUGACUCUGGAUUCGUAUUCUGAGUUGUUGAAAUGGGUGAUUAGAAAUGCCCUAGUUCUAGUCCUCCAAUUUUCUACAUCUUGUAGAAACUGGAAAUGUAUGUCUCAUCAUUUGAAAACAACCAUGGCUGAGUUUUUGGGAUAAGGUCUGAAAAGUUGAGAUUACAGUUCCAAACUGUCAGUGAACUUUCAGGUGCUGCCCUGUUCCGUAUUCACAGGUUUCAUUGGCAGUACGCACUAAACACGUCUCUUCUCAAAGGAUUAAAGCCAGCAGAAGCUGAUCCCUGGGUAUUGUCACAAGAGUGAUUGUUUUUGAAGAUUCUCUUACCUGAUAAAGAUUGUGUCUUGGCAGUCAGAUUUAGAUUGCUAUUUCCCAUGAGCAAAUUAAAAAAGAAAAAAAAAAAAAAUAAAGCAGUUAUAUGAAAGGUAAAUAAUAAAUAUUCUCACCUUCACUUCUGCUUGACUUUUGUGAUCAGGCUCAGUUUACUGCAGUCUGUGUAGCUAUCAUUUAAAUGAGAGCACUUUCACUUAGCAAGCAUCUGUCUGACACAGUGCUGCUGACUUAGUUUUCAAUGCCAUUUACAGUGUUCUGUGUCUUCUCCUGAUCUUUAGUGCCAGUCAGUGGAAAGUAUUUGCAAAGUAAUCCCUGGGAUACAGAUCCUCCAGAGCCACCCCCUGCCCCACUGGGUUGAAAAGCCCAUUAGUCACCUCCAUAUCUUUCAAUCCUGGGAGCAUAAAAACUGAUAUUUGAAAACUCUCACUAGAGAAUCUCAGCCUUUCAAUACCCCCAAAUACAAGUCAAGGUCAGAUGUUUUCUGAAGAAAAAGGGAGUGAGGAAAACUUCCCAGUCUCGGAGGUCUCCAAGCAGAGAAAGCUUGAAGAGGAAGCUCUUGUAUAGAACCUUGGAAGUCUGGCUACAUAUCUCUGCAGUUCCACUGGCUUCGUAGAGCUACACCAGUUCACUCCAGGCUAAGCAUUUCACCUGUGAUUUUCCUGGUUUUAAAGUAUCCCAUGUGGGCCAGAAAAAUUCCAAGAGUUUCUGAACUACUCAAAUUCAAGGAUGUAGGUUGGAGGUGGGGAGAGUUCAGUGUUCUGUAUUCAGAAUCUUUCCUUCCUAUUGCAUACGUGAUGCUUUGCACUAGAAACACAAAGCAAAUUGUUUGUCAGAAAAAUAACAUUGAUACUAUGGGAAAGAGGACAUUUUUUCCCUGGUAUUUACCAGCUCAAUUGUACCAGUGGAGGAGAUUUUUGCAAGCAGUUAGCCAUCAGACUGUAGUCAAACCCCUAGUUUAAAGGAACAAAAAAACAGCAGUUAAGUAUAGUUUAAUUUUUUUUCCCAGGAAGUAUUGUUAUUAUAAACUAUAAUUAGUGGUUUUAACCCAGCAGUAUUUCAUUUCUCUUAAAGGAAAAACAGGUUUCUAGCUGAGCAUCUUUGUUAGAGCUGUCAGUGUCUGCAUUCAUAAAACGAAAAGAGCUGCGAUCGAAAAUGGGUAAUUUCUUGACAGUUUAGGUGCACACCCUGCCAAUCAGGAAAGCCUAGGCCUCCUAAUGAUAUUAAAAUAACUGAAAAUGGAAUUUUGUCAAACAUUCAGGUGUUUUUCAGAGGACUCAUUUGCUCAAGUGAGAAGUUUAUUUGUUGGCGGUGGCUGAAUACUUAAUUACAGUAGCUGCGCUAAAUAUCAUUGCUGGCGCUUGAGAUAUAUUUAGAUUCAGCUCCCUCUGUCUCAGAAAACACAGCAAUUAAAAUGCAGCACUGUAACUUAAUGUAACUGAUAAUAGGUAUAGGGAUAAGGAAGGCUCGAGAUGUUGCCAAAUGUGCUAUGGAAACCAUAGACGAAGCAUGAAAACAGUGGUAACUUUUUCUGCCUCUGUAAGUCAAAGCCCUUACUCCAUCAACGCUGGACACAGCAACAUGGGGAUUUUCAAGGCAGUGUAGAGACAACAGGUGUCUUUGACAGCAGUGGUCAUGACAGCAUUAGUCUUACAGCCUGUGAGUUACCUGCUUCACAAGACUCACCUCAAAUAAUGAACUGAAGCUUAGUCCUCAAGGGACCUAUGGCAUACCUUUAAAAGGCUAUCUAUCUGUCUUUUCUCUCCUGACCUUCCACAUGGGUUACACACAAUGUAUCCUGAACCUGACCAUAGGAUUCUCAACUGGCCUGGUUUCUUGUACGACUCAGCAGAAGUUGACACAAUCCUCAUGUCUCCCUGUAAGGGCUCUGAUUCCCUCUUACAUUCCCAGAUGGUGACAGAGAAGAACACACCAUGUGGAGCACUAAAUCUAAAAGCUCAUCCCAAGCGUGCCAGAACCUCAAGUUGUUGAACCCAAUUAAGGCUUGGAUCAUAAGACAGUCCCAGAAGAGAGCACAUAGCAGAAUGCAAGCUCUGAUGCAUCAAUUGUGGCUGUAUUUUUAAUUCUGUUACGUCAUGUGAAGAAAAUCGGGCACAACACAUCUUGAAGGACUAAGUGGGAAGGCAGUAUCUGCUUGGCACAUACUGUUUGACUUUGCUGGAGGAGACCUGAGUUGUGGAAAAAAGCCUUCAUUUUUACGGGCUCUGGACUUCCCAGGAGUUGCAUUAACCUUGAAAAAGAGAUGUAAUAAAGAAGUAUCCUCGUCCUCAUUUAAGCUCUACUUAUGCUUUGCAAGUCACACACAGUUCACUGAAAGAGUUUCUCCGUCACUCUUCAAAUGAUGAACUUAUUGAUUGUCAGAGUUCCACACCGACAGUGUGAAGAACUGACUUACCCUGGUGAUCCAUAAAGCAGCAGCAGUGGAUAUGUUCGUCCAGAAAGUGAGUUGCUUGGAAAGCAGAGAGGUUAGCUGUAUUUGCAGGCGGAUUCAUCCUGUGAUCACUUCGUAGAGUGCUAACAAGAGUGGCAAUUUAUUCGUACCACAAGGAAAAAUUCUUAUCUUUCAUUCACAGCACCAUUCUUAAAAGCUCCUUCCUUUUCAGUGUGUUUUUAAAUUGAAUUAUUGCAUGUAUGUUGUACGUGCUUUUAUUUUCACUGAGAAUUUAAUUGACUAAAACUUCGCUUUCAACUGAAAAAGACGGAUUUGCUGGAAGCAUAGUAAUCCACGCACCAUUAGGCUUGGUUACAGUCAGGAAAGAGCAGUAAAAAUGUCACCUCUUAGCUCAGGUCAGCUUCCUGAGAAGAUCACAGGUGGUGUUUAUUCACUAUACUGACUAAAAUAAAUUUUAUUUCUCUCAGUUGUGAGAACAAUGCAGUUAAUGGAGAUAGGGGAGGGCUUCAGGUGGCAUCCUACAUAUUCAGAAGAAAUGAAUUUUAUCCUUUAAUGAAGAAUACCUUUCAGUAAUCACAAUACAGGGGAAACAUCCAUUAAGAACCCUGGGUGAAUUUCCAGUCUCCAGAAAAAGGAGGUGUCCUGCAAAGUGAACCAAGGCAGAGGGGAACCAUGGUACCAGCAGGUACCAGCAUAGGUACCUGUCAGGGUCCUUGGGUGAGCAGGGUCAUCCAAUGAUGUUUUCCCUGUAAAAAAAAGGGAGCAGCAGCAGGGUGAUGACAGGGAUUUCCUCUGUGGUGCCAGUGGUGCAUCUUUCCCUUGUUAUUGCAGUGUCAGAGAAGAACUGGAUGUGGAGUGCCAAACCGAUACUGUGGGUCACGCAGUAUGGCUGGAGCAGGAGGGAGACAUGCUGGAACUUGGGUAUUCUGCUCAUAGGAGUGGGCAGCAGUGCUCAGGAAAUACUGCAGUGCACUGAGAUGGGCAGAAGGGGGGGGGUGGUUCCCAGACCCACAGCUCACAGACCCACAUACAUGCCCUCCUUCUCCAGGAGGCUUUGUAGUUAGUGCAUCUACCAAGGUGCUCUUUUGGUAUUGUCUUUAUGAUUGUUUCAGAUGCUUUUGAUCCUCAACAUCUGAGGCAGAAAUGCAAAACCACACUCUAUUAUAAUUAGAGAAAGUGAUGGAGUUAUUUUGAAUUCUAAAGCCAUGACAUUCAAAAAAAAUAAAAAUAAAAAUCAGGAGAGUGGUGCAGAAAAGGAGAGGUGUGCUCAGGUAUACAGGUAUACUCUCCAAAUUAUAGACUGAGUGGAAAGAACUACACAUUUGGAAUAUGAUGCUACAGAGACCUGGUACCCUCAUGUUCAACCUGAGCAACUACAUCAACUUCUGCUGAGCCUCCUGUUGGCAAUGGGUU